rnacentral:rRNA from 1 species
UACGAAGGGGGCUAGCGUUGUUCGGAAUUACUGGGCGUAAAGCGCGCGCAGGCGGUCCUUCAAGUCAGAGGUGAAAGCCCAGAGCUCAACUCUGGAACGGCCUUUGAGGCUAGAGGACUUGGGUACGGGAGAGGUGAGUGGAAUUCCGAGUGUAGAGGUGAAAUUCGUAGAUAUUCGGAAGAACACCAGUGGCGAAGGCGGCUCACUGGCCCGUUACCGACGCUCAGGCGCGACAGCGUGGGGAGCAAACAGG